rnacentral:misc_RNA from 1 species
AUCGUAACAAACCAAUUUAUAAAACUACCUUUAAGUCUUGGUGACACAUUCUUAUCACACAAGACACUAGAUGCAAGCCCAAUUUCACCCACCCUGCUCCAAUGUGAUACGUAACAUCAUCUACAAUCUCCCCAUACUCGAAUAUAGACCUAAGAUACUUGAAACUUCUUCUCUUGGAGAUGACUUGUGUAUCAGUCUUCACUUUCA